UUCGAAAGAAAGAUUAAUACCCGAUGGUAUAACAUGACCUCCUGGUUUUGUUAUUAAAGAAUUUCGGUAGAGGAUGGGGAUGCGUUCCAUUAGGCAGUUGGCGGGGUAACGGCCCACCAAACCUUCGAUGGAUAGGGGUUCUGAGAGGAAGGUCCCCCACAUUGGAACUGAGACACGGUCCAAACUCCUACGGGAGGCAGCAGUGAGGAAUAUUGGUCAAUGGGCGAGAGCCUGAACCAGCCAAGUAGCGUGAAGGAUGACCGCCCUAUGGGUUGUAAACUUCUUUUAUAUGGGAAUAAAGUUUGCCACGUGUGGCAUUUUGUAUGUACCAUAUGAAUAAGGAUCGGCUAACUCCGUGCCAGCAGCCGCGGUAAUACGGAGGAUCCGAGCGUUAUCCGGAUUUAUUGGGUUUAAAGGGAGCGUAGGUGGACAUGUAAGUCAGUUGUGAAAGUUUGCGGCUCAACCGUAAAAUUGCAGUUGAUACUGCGUGUCUUGAGUACAGUAGAGG
rnacentral:rRNA from 1 species